rnacentral:rRNA from 1 species
GACGAACGCUGGCGGCGUGCUUAACACAUGCAAGUCGAGCGGAGCGGCGAACGGGUGAGUAACGCGUGAGUAACUGCCCCCCUCUCUGGGAUAACAGUUGGAAACGGCUGCUAAUACCGGCUAGUGGGGGAUGACUCGCGUCCUAUCAGCUUGUUGGGGGGGGAGUGGCCUACCAAUGCGACGACGGGUAGCCGUCCUGAGAGGUCGACCGGCGCAAUUGGGCUAAGAGACGGACCAAACGCCUACGGGAGGCAGCAGUGGGGAAUAUUGCAGAGUGAGGGAAAGCCUGAGGCAGCAGCGCCGCGUGCGGGAUGACGGCCUUCGGGUUGUGAACCGCGUUCAGCGAUGACGCGGUAGUGGCAGAAGAAGCACCGGCUAACUACGUGCCAGCAGCCGCGGUAAUUC